rnacentral:rRNA from 1 species
ACAUGCAGUCGAGCGGGGUGAUGGUGCUUGCACUAUCACUUAGCGGCGGACGGGUGAGUAAUACUUAGGAAUCUGCCUAUUAAUGGGGGACAACAUCUCGAAAGGGAUGCUAAUACCGCAUACGCCCUACGGGGGAAAGCAGGGGAUCACUUGUGACCUUGCGUUAAUAGAUGAGCCUAAGUCGGAUUAGCUAGUUGGUGGGGUAAAGGCCUACCAAGGCGACGAUCUGUAGCGGGUCUGAGAGGAUGAUCCGCCACACUGGGACUGAGACACGGCCCAGACUCCUACGGGAGGCAGCAGUGGGGAAUAUUGGACAAUGGGGGGAACCCUGAUCCAGCCAUGCCGCGUGUGUGAAGAAGGCCUUAUGGUUGUAAAGCACUUUAAGCGAGGAGGAGGAGCUCUAGGCUAAUAUCCUAGAUGCUUGGACGUUACUCGCAGAAUAAGCACCGGCUAACUCUGUGCCAGCAGCCGCGGUAAUACAGAGGGUGCGAGCGUUAAUCGGAUUUACUGGGCGUAAAGCGUACGUAGGCGGCUUAUUAAGUCGGAUGUGAAAUCCCUGAGC